UGCUUCUGUCUUUUUUUUUUUCACUUUAUUUUCCCCUUCUCAAAAUAGCUACUGUCAGUCUGUCACCCAAACGAUAGGCCAGAGAAAGUUGUUGACGGUUUCAGGUCGACCACGACAGCCUCACCAACGAUAGGCCAGAGAAAGCCGAACCCCAGGCGACCAAAGACCACCACGGUGGCCAAAACGCUGGUGGUCGGCGGGUUAUUACAAGAGAUGACGACUAGGGUUUUUUAUUGUGGUGGUGUGGGUUACAGUAGAGGCGAGGAAGACGAUGAGCGAUGAUGGUAAUAGCAGAGAUGAAGGCUUGAGGAACUAAGCAUACGGCUUAUCUUAGCGAGAUUUCCGCUUCCGGCGAGGUUUCCGGCUACCUCCAGUGCGGUGUUUGAGUCACAAUUAUUUCUUGAUGCUAGGUGAAUACAGGUCUAGGUAAAUUGUUUGGGUGUUUUGAUGUGAAUGCUUUGAACACGAGUUCGAUUCUGCAGCAACCUUUUUGCGGUGGCUGACGGUACGAGUGGCGAUUUCUUGAUGGUUCACCACCGUCACCAUUGAUCUCCGCCGCCACCGCCUAGAUGACAUUACUUCCUUAUCAAUGGUAGCGGCUGAUGAAGCCUUAUGGUGGUUGUCGUGACGGUACGAGUGGCGAUGUCUUGAUGGCUGUAAAUAACUUUAUCCUUUUUCGUUCAAUGAUGGUGACCGGCGGCCUUUAAACAUUGAUGAAGAUGCUUUUAAUGUUACUGGUUUCUUGAUGGAUUUUACGGUUAUGGUUACCUGACGCCUUGAGAAAUCGAUGAUGAAACAUGGGAUAUGAAUAUAAUUUAGAAUGUUAGUUUUUGUAUGACUCUGAGAUAGUUUAGAGCCUGUGUUGGUGUUUAUUUCAUGCUUUGUGCAUGAUGGUGUUGAGUAGCCGCGCCGGCAUCGGUGCAUAACCAACAUCUUCACACCGUUUGCAACCAGUGGUUUGUGCUUGAUGUUUUUAAGGUGUCGUUGCCGGUGACAGUACCGAUAUCGACGAAUGUGGUUGUGAUGAGGUGUGAUUUUACUUGCACAUUCAUGAUAGUGGUAUGGCAUUGUUGGUGGAUGCCGUUUUCCCAGGUUUGAUUGUUGCGUAGGGGCUGGCUGUUGCUGCUUUGAUGAGGCUUAAGAUUCAAAGCAGAUAGAUGUUUACCUUCUGAUAGGUUGAAGGAGCGGUACCGGAAGACGGACGGACGUACAGUAUUUAGGAUACUUUUGCCCAUGCAUGUAAUGCCAUUAGAUUGGAUAAUGCAUCUUUUUUGGUCCAUGCAGAACUGGUUAACUUUGUGCAAAUGUAUUUAGGGGUGUUUGGAUGUGUGUAAAGCGGUAUCAAGGUAUCCUACAAACCAACAUGAACAAACUUCUUUUAGCGCUGAUAUAUGGAUGAGUCAAACAAACUGAUAUAGCAACUUAUGACGAAUAUAACGAGGUCGUAUUUGGCAUUAGUUUACUUUAUAUUUUGGCCUCAAUUUAUUUUCGUUUUAUAAGCUAUUUUAAUAUUUUUAUGAAACUUAGUAUAAGUAGAUGUAUAAAGGGACCAGGAUUACCCUUCUAUUGAGAAUAAGAGUGAAAGACCUAACCCUUUUUAGGCUUUCUUUAGUCAAAUAUCUACAAAAAUGCUAUCAUUACACUGAACAUUGAUUUUUUAAUAUUUUUGUUAU
rnacentral:lncRNA from 1 species